GGAGUCUGGGACUAAGGGGAAUUUUUAUGUUUAUGUCAAUUUCACCACUGAAAUACAUGGAAUUGUUGUUUAAAUAUAACAGGUUCUUUUUUUUUUGGUCAAAAGUUAACUUUUUUAUUUUAUUUGACACACUGGGAUUUAUUUGUUUGGUUCUUUUCUAGUUGUAUAUAAUUAUAAAGGCAAGGUAAAAUUCAGAUGAAAGGAAUCAUCAGCUACUUCUACAAGACAUAUGCAGGGCUUUAUCUGGUAAGUAAAUCAACUACCCGCUUUGUUCUAUCUUCCCUUUUAUCUUUCAAGUUUGUCUCUGUACUAUAUGCAGGGCUGGAAGGAAGUUUAUAAAACUCUUGGAACAGACAUUUGGAAUCAAU
rnacentral:misc_RNA from 1 species